AGAGGGAGAGCCUGCGGCUGUGCUCAGCACUGAAAACACUAGCAUCAGCCAGAACGGUAUAUGAUAGCAAGCUCUGCGGCUUACCUUACUUCCCCCGUCUGUAUUCUAGAAACAGAGACAGCCUGUCAUGCUCUGUAUUGCAUCCAAAGCUCCCUCUAUAUAGCUGUAUCCUUCUUCACAGAGGACACAAAAAUCCUCUGGACACAUCUCCCCAUGUGUGCUCUGCGUGUAUACAUCUUUAUAUACUCUGCUUUGUAUACUGCUUUAUAUACUCUGUAGCAGUUAGAGUGUAUGCUGUGCUGGGCCAGGAUUAAGUCUCUCUCUGUACUUCACUUCUAUCUAAAUAACAGUAAGUUCUGCAAUACAUGGCCCCUUCCCCCUGUACUCUAUUCAUAUAUCCAGAUCACACAGUAAAUCAUACAUGGAAGGUUUUAUCUCUCUCUAUAUAUAUAUAUAUAUAUAUUGUUUGUGUAUUUUUGAGUUAAACGAUAGAAAUUGUACAUUUCCAC